rnacentral:rRNA from 1 species
AACGAACGCUGGCGGCAGGCUUCAUACAUGCAAGUCGAGCGCUCACUUCGGUGGGAGCGGCGGACGGGUUAGUAACGCGUGGGAAUGUACCCUUCUCUAAGGAAUAGCCACUGGAAACGGUGAGUAAUACCUUAUACGCCCUUCGGGGGAAAGAUUUAUCGGAGAAGGAUCAGCCCGCGUUAGAUUAGGUAGUUGGUGGGGUAAUGGCCUACCAAGCCUACGAUCUAUAGCUGGUUUGAGAGGAUGAUCAGCAACACUGGGACUGAGACACGGCCCAGACUCCUACGGGAGGCAGCAGUAGGGAAUCUUGGACAAUGGGGGAAACCCUGAUCCAGCCAUGCCGCGUGAGUGACGAAGGUCUUAGGAUCGUAAAGCUCUUUCGCCAGGGAUGAUAAUGACAGUACCUGGUAAAGAAACCCCGGCUAACUCCG